rnacentral:rRNA from 1 species
CCAAUAGCGUAUAUUAAAGUUGUUGCAGUUAAAAAGCUCGUAGUUGAAUUUUGGGUUUGGCCGAUUGGUCCGUUCUUGUAAUGAGUACUGGUCGGUUGGGCCUCACCGCUUGGUGAUGCGUAAUGCCCUUUAUUGGGUGUUGCGAGUAGCCAAGACCUUUACCUUGAAAAAAUUAGAGUGUUUAAAGCAGGCAUAUGCCGGAAUACAUUAGCAUGGAAUAAUAGAAUAGGACAAUGAUUCUAUUUUGUUGGUUUCUAGGACCAUUGUAAUGAUUAAUAGGGAUAGUUGGGGGCAUUAGUAUUCAAUUGUCAGAGGUGAAAUUCUUGGAUUUAUUGAAGACUAACUACUGCGAAAGCAUUUGCCAAGGAUGUUUUCAUUAAUCAAGAACGAAAGUUGGGGGAUCGAAGACGAUCAGAUACCGUCGUAGUCUUAACCAUAAACUAUGCCGACUAGGGAUCGGGCGAUGUUGUUUCAAUGACUCGCUCGGAACCUUAUG